rnacentral:rRNA from 1 species
GAUGAACGCUGGCGGCGUGCCUAAUACAUGCAAGUCGAGCGAACGGACGAGAAGCUUGCUUCUCUGAUGUUAGCGGCGGACGGGUGAGUAACACGUGGAUAACCUACCUAUAAGACUGGGAUAACUUCGGGAAACCGGAGCUAAUACCGGAUAAUAUUUUGAACCGCAUGGUUCAGAAGUGAAAGACGGUCUUGCUGUCACUUAUAGAUGGAUCCGCGCUGCAUUAGCUAGUUGGUAAGGUAACGGCUUACCAAGGCAACGAUGCAUAGCCGACCUGAGAGGGUGAUCGGCCACACUGGAACUGAGACACGGUCCAGACUCCUACGGGAGGCAGCAGUAGGGAAUCUUCCGCAAUGGGCGAAAGCCUGACGGAGCAACGCCGCGUGAGUGAUGAAGGUCUUCGGAUCGUAAAACUCUGUUAUUAGGGAAGAACAUAUGUGUAAGUAACUGUGCACAUCUUGACGGUACCUAACCAGAAAGCCACGGCUAACUACGUG